GACAAUAACAUCAAAUUUCAAGUGUGGGGUUUAGGAAGAGGAGCUGAGCGAAGCAGCAGUUCUUAUUUUUCUUAAUUUUGCAGAUAAGCAGAUUGGUUGAAGGUAGCAACAAGAAGGGGGAAAAAUAUCACUCAAGGGUGUGAUAAGAUAACAAUACCCUCCCAAUGUCUUUGUUGUAAGUUGGUUAUGUGUUCAACUUUGGAAAGAUGAAAUUUGUUAAUGGAAAAGGAAGCUGCCAAGUUAAAGAGCAGCACACCCUCGUAGGCUACCAAAUGUCAAGAGUCAAGAACAACAAAAAAAAUCAACAAAGAAAAGGGACAUAAACAAAUAUCUCCACUGGAAUGAUGAUACCAUUACUCUUUUCUAGUAAUACGGGAAAUACAA